UCCUCUGUAUGAAUCAAUCAAAGGUUCUGAAGACACUGAAAACGAUGCAGGUAGAUCCCAGGAUGUCACAUAUUCUUUGAUUGAACUUAAAAACUUUGGAAAGAAGAGGAAGCAAAAGGAACCAGAGGAGAGCGCUGUUUACUCUGAUGUGAAAACAGCAACUGCAGGUACAGUCAGUUCCAACCAUCAUACUCAGAAUCUGUAUUGAAAUGUGUCGUAUCAUUACACAGGAG